rnacentral:rRNA from 1 species
UAAGGAAUAUUGGACAAUGGCCGCAAGGCUGAUCCAGCCAUGCCGCGUGCAGGAAGACGGACCUAUGGUUUGUAAACUGCUUUUGAACCAGAGAAAACCCCCUUACGUGUAAGGGGCUGUUAGUAUGGUUAGAAUAAGCAUCGGCUAAUUUCUUGCCAGCAGCCGCGGUAAGACGAAGGAUGCAAGCGUUAUCCGGAUCCAUUGGGUUUAAAGGGAGCGUAGUCGGAUUUGUAAGUCAGUGGUGAAAUCUCUUCGCUUAACGAAGAAACUGCCAUUGAUACUGCAGAUCUUGAGUACAGUGGCCGUUGGCGGAAUAUGGCAUGUAGUGGUGAAAUACUUAGAUAUGUCAUAGAACACCGAUUGCGAAGGCAGCUAACGAAGCUGUAACUGACGCUGAGGCUCGAAAGUGCGGGGAUCAAACAGG